AUCAUUAACGAAUAUGAUUUAUAUCUUCAUUUUUGUGAACACUUUAGUCUUUAUUGACUUUAAUUGCUUCGGUCGCUGUUAGCAGCGGCCGGUAGAAAAACUUUUUAAACUUUAGUCUAAUACUUAAGAUUUUAAUAAUCAAAACUUUCAACAACGGAUCUCUAGGUUCUCGCAUCGAUGAAGAACGCAGCGAAAUGCGAUACGUAAUGUGAAUUGCAGAAUUUUGUGAAUCAUCGAAUCUUUGAACGCACAUUGCGCCUGGUGGUAUUCCGCCAGGCAUGCCUGUUUGAGCGUCAUUACUCUCUCACUCCGGUGGUUUUGUUGUAUCUCUCUCUUUCCUAGGGAAAGUGCAAUGAAAAGUAAUGGCAGUCUAUUAGUGCCUUGGAAACGUGUUUUAGGUCCUACCAACUACACUACUACCACACUAAAAGAAGUCGGCUUGAUAACCCUUUUUUAUCAAAUUUGACCUCAAAUCAGGUAAGACUACCCGCCGAACUUAAGCAUAUCAAUAAGCGGAGGA
rnacentral:rRNA from 2 species